rnacentral:miRNA from 1 species
UCGGUCGAGUUUCUUUGUUGGA